rnacentral:rRNA from 1 species
ACGCUGGCGGCAGGCCUAACACAUGCAAGUCGAGCGGUAGAGAGAAGCUUGCUUCUCUUGAGAGCGGCGGACGGGUGAGUAAUGCCUAGGAAUCUGCCUGGUAGUGGGGGAUAACGUUCGGAAACGGACGCUAAUACCGCAUACGUCCUACGGGAGAAAGCAGGGGACCUUCGGGCCUUGCGCUAUCAGAUGAGCCUAGGUCGGAUUAGCUAGUUGGUGAGGUAAUGGCUCACCAAGGCGACGAUCCGUAACUGGUCUGAGAGGAUGAUCAGUCACACUGGAACUGAGACACGGUCCAGACUCCUACGGGAGGCAGCAGUGGGGAAUAUUGGACAAUGGGCGAAAGCCUGAUCCAGCCAUGCCGCGUGUGUGAAGAAGGUCUUCGGAUUGUAAAGCACUUUAAGUUGGGAGGAAGGGCAUUAACCUAAUACGUUAGUGUUUUGACGUUACCGACAGAAUAAGCACCGGCUAACUCUGUGCCAGCAGCCGCGGUAAUACAGAGGGUGCAAGCGUUAAUCGGAAUUACUGGGCGUAAAGCGCGCGUAGGUGGUUUGUUAAGUUGGAUGU